GGGUGCGAUCAUACCGGCACUAAUGCACCGGAUCCCAUUAAAACUCCGCAGUUUAAGCGUGCUUGGGCGAGAGUAGUACUAGGA
rnacentral:rRNA from 1 species